UCUUACAGAUAAGCAAAAAAAAUGGUUUCUGGAGAUGGAAUCUGUUCCUGGUGAAUAUACUGUGAA
rnacentral:pre_miRNA from 1 species